CUAGUGUCUUCCUGGCUAAAGCUCUAGCUUCCCUAGGUCUGCUCUUCCAUUGGCCUGUAUGUGGGGCACCACAUAGGGAGCUUAUGGAGGGUUUUCUGGGGGCUCCUUAAGUCCCAGCAGGACUCCAGAAUUUCUGAAGCAAAAUUGCACAGUGGGCUAUGAUUUCCUCUCACAGAGAGUCAGAGCCCAGACUGAAGCUAGUGUUCUUGGAAUGCCUCUAGCUAAACAGCCGGGAAAGCGACCGUAAGAAGAACGCUGCUUCCUAAGAGCAUGCUGGGAAGUGAGCCAGCUCGGCUGGCUGACACUUGUUGCCAUGCAUGCAAUUGAAUUUUCCCAGAAUGCCUCAAGACCUCUAGGAGAAUGCCACUUGGAGCCUGGUAUGGGUGUUAAGAUCCAACUGAAGAGACUGAAGAGUGGGCCAAAGGAAAAGAGCAUGGAUCAGCACUUACCAGCAGGAGUGAUGGAGGGGAAGGUUUGAUCAGCAUGCCAACCAUUUCCUCAUCCAAAUGGCCACCGAGAAUGCUGAUCGGGACAGGAUCAACAUCGGCACCAUGCAGCCUCCAUGACCCCGCUGCCUGGAGACUUCUUGAAGUUGUUCACAGGACUUUGUGAGAGGUUCUGAUGAGUAUCUUCCUGACAGCAGAUGUACCGGUUGAUCACACAAGAAUCUUGCUGGCCGUGUGGCUCAGCAAAACAGAGAGUGUAAAUCUUCCAUCACAGCAGACCUGGAGAGAGGCAGCGUUUCCUUAGUGCUGGCAGCCCUGCAGAUGGAAGAUCUUCCUCCUAACUCCACUACAAACCAUUAAGCAUCCAAAGCUCUGGCUGGCGUUCAGGGUGGAACAGGGUCUCUCACUAAACCUGGAGCAUCAAUUUGACUAGACUGUCUCGCCAAUGAACUCCCGGCAUCUGCCCGCCCAUCUCCCCAGCACUGGGAUUACAUUUGUGCACACCUCACUGUCCAGUGUUGAUGCGCAUGCUGGGCAUCUGAACUGAGUCUGCAGCAGGCACAUUACUCACUGAACCAUUCCCCCAGCACCACAUCCUUCAACUUAUGUCCCAGAUUAUUCAGUAUCUGCCCUGUAUGGGUCUUUCUGGCAUGGAAUUUGGGGAGAAGAAAUAGUCACAUUGUUUUAUUGAGGUUUUAUGAUUUACCAGGUGCUUACUUAAUCUUCAUGAGACAGGGCAGGAAUCACAACUCCUUUUGUAGAUUCAUGGAGAUGGAGGUUCAAAGAGGAUGUAAGAGUGUGUCCCAGGGUCUCAGAGCUUUUGAGGGACAGAUCAGAGAGGAAAGCCACAGCCCUCUACAUUGGAGCUCUUCUCUUUCAUGAGGGCGGGAAGGGCCAUUUUGUUUCUCAGUUGGACUCAUGCAGUGUUGCUACUCCGUGCUCACUCCUGGCCCUGAACUAGAUGGGAUCUCUCCCUAGUAAGUAUUUCACCCCAUCACCAUCCAUGCCUCUUUGAACUGGGAGUUACUGGUGGGCACAGUCCAGGGUUCUGGCCUCUGUGGUGGACAGAGAAGAGGGUAGGAGCUCAAGGCCAGACAGAGAAGGUCCAACGUGCUUAAUUGUCUUGGAAGGUCUACAUGGGGCUAUCUGAGGACUCCAUAUCUAAAUAGAGAGACCACUGGGGACCUUGUUGUUUCAGUUCCCACCCAUAAAAACUUUCUCUUUCUUCCUUUCUUUACUUGCUUCUCCCAACAAGACCCAAGCAGUCAGGAACAGGCAAAUGUCUCCACAGCUGCCACCCUUCGGCCCUUUAGAGUCAGGAAUUCCAUAGCUGGUAGAGUAGACUAACAACAGGGCUAGCCUGGGAACCUGACUCCAUUUCCCACUUCUUUGAAGAAAGGAGCCUCAUCCUGUUGGUCAGACUGCUCUGCAGAGGUCUAGAAAUCUUGCAAGUCCCUGAUGCCACAAGAAAUACUCACCGAGGAGGGGUCAGCAGCAAAUUAAUUCACAUUUUCUUCAUCUUUUUCCUUGUCACCUCAGUGCCUGCUGCCCAGAAACACAUCUUUCUGAAGGUAAGAUUAGGAUGUGAGGGUGGGGUGGAAUAGAGGGAGUGCUUGGCCAGUUUCCUAGGGACAGAGCAUGGCAGACUGUCAGGAGGAGAA